rnacentral:lncRNA from 1 species
AGCUAAAGAUAGAAACAUACACCCCGGAUCUGGAGUCAAAUUCUUCUGCGGGUUACCUCCAUGAUUCAGCUUUUUCUUUGGGUUUGUUGGGUCCUCCGAUGUGCCAACCAGAUUCUCCUCCGAAUGCCUCUUGCCUAGAAUCGAUUGUCCCUGAACUUUCGCGUAAACACAUUGUCGUGGGAUUGCUAAGAGUUCAUGCUGCAUAUAUGGAAACAAACUCUCGAAGGAGCUCCACCCUCAUACCUGGAGGGUCAUUCAUUGGGUCUCUACUAAACAGGCCCACUGUCUCCAAGCCCACUAUUACCAAGCCCAUUUGGUAACCUUUCUAUAUUAGGCCCGGUAACAGAAUUUUGCUUACGUAAGCCCUCUAGGAGGAUAUCUUCAGGAUAUACUUAAUCUUGAAAGGGAUUUGAAGUAGGAAAAUGCUAAAUUUACAACAAUGAUUUACAAUAACGUCCAAAACGACGUAAACACAAAACGAUAUCGUUCCAUUUAGCCGCCAAAUGGAUUGGAUAAAUGAAACGACGUAGUUUGAAUUUAUAAUGCCGAAACGACGUACCAAAACAACGUUGUUUUGGUAUUGUUAUAAUGGUUGUAAACCAAUUGUUGUACUGCAGCAUGGUCCUUUAAAGAAAUCUAGCUAGCAGUGUGUGUCCGUGUGUACAAGAUAGGAUAUUUAACCACAAUGAGUUCUUAAAAUGGAUUAGUUUUGUUUUUUUGCCUUUUGUUUUCAUUUUUCGAAUAGUUGUUGUAAUUAUAAAACAGUUAUUAACAAUUGUUUGUUAAUGGGUAGUUUUGGUAUAAAAAAAUAUAAAUCCACAAAUUAGGUGUUCCUUUUAUAAUAAUAAUAAUAAUUUUCCGGGCACUACGUAAAGAAAAUACAUCUUAAACGUACUCGUCAGAGCUUUAUACCUAAAAAAUAGAUAAGAUAUAAACGUUAGAUAAUAGAUACAUUAUAUGCAUAUACAAAAUGGAGAAUAAAUUAAAAAAUAUAAUGAUUUUGAUAAAGUGUUAGCUUGAGAUAAAUGAGGAGGAAAUAAAUAAGUAUUUUAAUUUUUUGGGUGCGAGUCUCACUAAAAAAUGAUUUAAUAGGUAAAAAAUAUGCCUAAUUUUAGAAAUUUUUUGACCAUGGAUCACAACUUAUGUAGGAUUUAUACCUUUGAGAAGAAGGAAGUAAUAUGUUUUUUAAAAAAAAUAAAAUCAAGUGAAAUCUUAUCCAUUAGAUUAAUUCAAAAGGAUUUCAACUUAGGAGAUUAGAUGAGGAGUAGGAGAUUAGAUGAGGGUAACGGCUUCGAACACUUGGUCCAAAUUUGAUUUUUAAAAAAUUUAAUUUUUAAUAGCAAAAAGUCAAAAAAUCUUGACAUUUUUAAUAGCAAGCUUCAAAAAAAUUUGAUUGUAAGCAUUACCAAAACAAGCCUUAAUCUUGAGAGGGAUUUGAAGAAAUCUCGCUAGCAGUAUGUGUCCACGUGUACAAGGUAGGAUAUUUAACCACAAUGAGUUCUUAAAAUGGAUUAGUUUUGUUUUUUGCCUUUUGUUUUCAUUUUUCGAAUAGUUGUUGUAAUUAUAAAACAGUUAUUAACAAUUGUUUGUUAAUGGGUAGUUUGGGUAUAAAAAAAAUAUAAAUCCACAAAUUAGGUGUUCCUUUUAUAAUAAUAAUAAUAAUUUUCCGGGCACUACGUAAAGAAAAUACAUCUUAAACGUACUCGUCAGAGCUUUAGAUAUAUAAUAGCCUAAAAAAUAGAAACGAUAUAACUUAGAUAAUGAGAACAUUGCAUGCAUAUACAAAAUGGAGAAUAAAUUAAAAAAUAUAAUGAUUUUGAUAAAGUGUUAGCUUGAGAUAAAUGAGGAGGAAAUAAAUAAGUAUUUUAAUUUUUUUGGGUGCGAGUCUCACUAAAAAAUGAUUUAAUAGGUAAAAAAUAUGCCUAAUUUUAGAAAUUUUUUGGCCAUUGGAUCACAACUUAUGUAGGAUCUACACUUUUGAGAAAAAUGAAGUAAUAUUUUUUUUUAAAAAAAUAAAAUCAAGUGAAAUCUUAUCCAUUAGAUUAAUUCAAAAGGAUUUCAACUUAGGAGAUUAGAUGAGGAGUAGGAGAUUAGAUGAGGGUAACGGCUUCGAACACUUGGUCCAAAUUUGAUUUUUAAAAAAUUUAAUUUUUAAUAGCAAAAAGUCAAAAAAUCUUGACAUUUUUAAUAGCAAGCUUCAAAAAAAAUUUGAUUUUUCAGCCUUAAUUUAACCAAACAAGCCUAAUUAGAGAGGGAUUUAAAAACUCAGUCUAGCAGUAUGUGCCACGUGUACAAGGUAGGAUAUUUAACCACAAUGAGUUCUUAAAAUGGAUUAGUUUUGUUUUUUUUGCCUGUUUGUUUUCAUUUUUCGAAGAGUUUUGUGUAUACAAAACAUUAGUUAUUAACAAUUGUUUGUUAAUGGGUAGUUUGGGUAUAAAAAAAAUAUAAAUCCACAAAUUAGGUGUUCCUUUUAUAAUUGUAAUAAUAAUUGCCCGGGCACUACGUAAAGAAAAUACAUCUUAAACGUACUCGUCAAAUCUUUAUAACAUAAAAAACAAAUAAGAUAUAAACGUUUGAUAAUUGAUACAUUAUAUGCAUAUACAAAAUGGAGAACAAAUUAAAAAAUAUAAUAAUUUUGAUAAAGUGUUAGCUUGAGAUAAAUGAGGAGGAAAUAAAUAAGUAUUUUAAUUUUUUUGGGUGCGAGUCUUACUAAAAAAUGAUUUAAUAUGUAAAAAAUAUGCCAAAUUUUAGAAAUUUUUUGACCAUUGGAUCACAACUUAUGUAGGAUCUACACUUUUGAGAAAAAUGAAGUAAUAUUUUUUUUAAAAAAAAAUAAAAUCAAGUGAAAUCUUAUCCAUUAGAUUAAUUCAAAUGGAUUUCAACUUAGGAGAUUAGAUGAGGUGUAGGAGAUUAGAUGAGGGUAACGGCUUUGAACACUUGGUCCGGAUUGUGGUCGUGGCAUUUGCUGCAUUGGACCUGGGCCGAUUCCAUGGGCUCCCAAUAAUCACUGGAUUGGGCUAGGCCUCGCUAAUUCCAUAAGAACCCAAACUUUUAGGCUUGGACCAGCAUCCAAACACCACGUUCAGAGGUGACAAAUGGGUAAGUUUGGAUCUGGUUAGUGGGCCUAAUUGGUUGGGUCAUUUAAAGUUUGGGUCGGACUCGUAACUCAUCUCAAACGCCCAUUUUGAAAUAAAAUAAUCUUUUUAUUACUUUUUGUCUUAAUAAAUAUUUUUAUAUUUUAAUUAAAACUUUAUAAGCUUUCACCUAAAUAAAGUUCAAAAUAAUCCAUUUUUAUUUUAGUUUUUAGGAAAAAAUUAUUACAGUAUUUAAAAAUAUAAUAAUUACAGAUGAUUUAAUUUUAUAAACAUAUCAUGCUUUGACCUUAUUAAUAAAUUAAAUUAUAAAUUUUAAUUUUUAACAAAUUAAACAAUGGACUCUUUAACCUGCCACAAUUGAAUUAUCUGUUAACUUCCGUUGAUUUAGAUUAACAAUUAUAAGUGACUCCCAUUAAAUAAUUGGGGAAACAACAUUACAUGAACUAGGUUUUCUUUAAAAAUCAUAAUCCCUAAAAAUGGGGAAUAUAUCCAAGCGACAACUAGAGAGAGCAUCAUAAAUCGGGGUGAAAUAAAAGUUGAAUCUUGAGUACGAAUUAGGUAAAUUGGUACUUUUGAAGGGACACUAAUUUAUGCUGACAUUGUUUUUCCUAUUAUUUUGGUCAGAAUCACUUAAAACUUGAUCAAGAUAAAUCAAAAAAUAAUAUAUAAAAAUUUUAGUAAGUGGGAAAAAAGUUUAUUGAAUGUUAAAAAACUAAAACAUCAAAGCAACUAAAAACAUAUUUUAAAAAUCUAGACCAAAUGGGCCUUAGACUUUUACUUUGAUCCCAAGGUCAUACCCUAGAGUUUUCCUAUCAUUUUAGGUUGUUUGCUUCAAUUUUCAAAAUUAAAAUUUGCAAAAUACCUUUUCAUAAUUUGUUUUCAAAACAAAAACAUAUAAAUUAUUUAAUUUUUUAAUAAAAAAUAAAUUUUGAGAAUUUGAAGACAUUUAUUAAAUAUUAUACUGAAAAUAUUUUUUAUAAAAAAAUUAAAAAGAUGUAUAGUUCGCUAGAUGGACCGACUAAAUCGGUUUGGGGCCUUGGGCCCCGAGUUGGGUCCAUGGGCUGUUCUGGGUUUGUGUACAAAUGUUUCUUUUUCUCUGUUUGGUUAACGAGAAAUAUUUUAGUAGGUGCUGAAGACCACCUCAUCAAGCUUGUUUGUUCUGCACAACCAAUAUAUAAAUGCCACCAGUUAGCGAUACCCAAUAAUUUUAGACAGAGAUCUUGUGAAUGAUAACAACAGGGUGAUAGGCCUAUCAAUGGAUUAGAUUCGGAUCCAAUCGAUGGUAAUUUGAAUCGAUUACAAACAAAUCGGAAUUGGAAUUUGUAUUUGAUAAAUCCGUUUAGUUUAAUUCGAAUUCAAAUCUAUUUUAAAUGGAUUAAAUUGGAUAUUCGAUCUGAAAAUCCGAUCCAAUUCAAUCUAAUCUAUUUUUCUUUAUUUAUUUAAAAAAAUAACCUAAAGAAGUAUGAAAAUUUUGAAAUAAAAAAAAUUAUAAUUGUCUUGGGGGUCAAAUAGUGGAUAUGUAGUCAAAUUCCAAAAACAAAUCCAAUAACACUCGAUAUCCAAAUAGUUAUUAAAAUGAUAAAAUAUAUAAAAAAACUAAUUUCAUUGUUUUUUCUUGAAUAUAUAUAUAUAUAAUAUAUAUAUAUAUAAUUCAAUAGUAAUUUAGAACUACUUGUAAAUGGGCAAUCUGUAGAAAAUUUACUCAAUUUUUUUAACAAAAUCUCUCCAAUUAUCUCUUGAAAACUAUUUUCAUUUGCUUUUAUUAAAAGAAAUACAAGGUUUUGCAAAAAUAAUACCAAAACAAACUUAUCCAACAAGUGAACAGUCACAUGCAUGCAUCUCAUGACAACAUUAUGCACAUGCAUGCAUAAUACUUCCAAGACAUUUUAUUUUGGAAUAAGACAUUUAUGUAGUUUAUUUUUGGACCUCACCACUGAAGUCCAAACAUUUUGAAACUGUUUAGAACCAUUUUAAUAUCGUCGAGAACUUUAAUAUUGUACAAAAUAACGACGAUCAAAUUCAGAUUAAUAGUCGACCUAUAUCAAUAUAUAUCAUAUAAAUGGGUGUGUUAUACCCAUUUAUUAAGUUAUAAAAUAGUACUGAAUAAAUAUUGAAAUGUGUUACAUCACCGUGAUUUUUAUAGUACUAAUUUUCUACAAACCGAAAUUAUUAGUAGACCGGUUUGAACAUCCAAACCGAGACUCCAAAAUGCAUAAAAUGACGGGGAAUUCCAUAUCUAGGCUCCACAUAAGCAAGUCCUUUAUUUUUUGUGCAAACUAAAACAAUAGCCCAUUUCGAAUAUUCUAGUCGGUGUUUUGUCGUGGACAAAAAACAGAAGAAGAAGAAAGACGAAGGCCACAUGCAAUGGUCUUAACGUGUGGAAAGGAGCCAGUACUAUUAGCUCGUGGUCUGUUAGAUGCAUGGGAAGUUCGGAACCCUAUGCAAUAAGAGAAAGCUUCCAAAUGUGGGGGCACACAACCAGUGGCGGCUUUAGAAAUUUUUAUUAAUGGUGUCAUGCAAAAUUUAAACAUAAAUUUAAUUAAUGAGAUCAAAUAUAUUUUUUUAUGGGUUCAACUUUCUUUAAAAUAUAUAUUUUUAGAAUAUUUUUCAAAGACAUCCGAGUUCAGCUGACCCCUAUCAGUAUAUAUGUGGCGCCGCCCCUACACAGUUGUUUGGUGAAAAUGAAACAGCCUGUGCAAGUUAUGGAAAGCAGUGCCACUUAUAUUUAUUUCCUUAAUUUUUGUAGAAUAAACUAUAAUUUGUAUCAUUAGAGUAGUACUUUCUUUAAAAUCUGUUUAAUUCUUAUAAUUUAGGUUAAUUGUUAAUAUCGCAUUUCUGUACAUCUAUUAUUUAACAUGUGGUCUCAUGGAACGGAAAAUAGACAAAAGUACCACAUUAAUGUUUGAUCUUCAAAUUUUAAGAAAUUAAUUGUCACAACUAGAAGCGAAGGUCUAAAAUGAUAUUUAGGUAAAACUUCAGGGCCCCAAUGGUGUAAUUAACCUAAUUUUUAAGGUAAUAAAUAAGUAUGGAUAGGAAACUAGGCGUGCACAAAAUACCCGCCUGACCAGCGACAGAUAGAUCCGACGUUAUGGUCGGUUUGGGCGGUUCCACCAUGAUUUGGGUAGGUCAUGGGUCUGAAACAUGAAUACCCGUACAGUUCGGUCGGUUCUUGAGUCCGUAUUUUUUUACCGAGACCCAGCCCGACCGAGACGAACCAAGAUCCGAAUCAAGAACGAGAAUCAAACCGAGAACCAACCCGAGCUCGAAGUCUAGAAACCGACAGUAUAGACAUACACAUGCACUCGUGCACACUGAUUAUUACCUAUAUUAUAUAAUUUAAGAAGAAGCGAAGUCCCGAACCGACCCGACCCGAGAAUCGAAGAACCGAACCGGACCCGAGCGGUUCGGGUUGGUUCGGUUCUCCUCGGUGUUCCGGGUCCAAAAAUAAGAAACCGUGAAUGGUCGGGUCAGAUCCGGGUCUGUCACAUACCCGACCCGAACUGACCCGUGUGCACCCCUAGGAAAAACGAUUUAAAAAUACCAUCGAACUCAAUACAAACUAAUAAUUCUUAUAAAUUUUUUUAGAUAUUAUUACUGUAUGCCAAAUCAGUAAUUAAGAAAGUUAGUAAAAAAUCUUAGUUUGUAUUGCAUUUUUCUUAAAGAAAUAGAAUUACAAAAAUAAUUUUUUAGAUUUUAUAUUUUUGGAUUUUUCUAGUAAAAAAAAUAUUAAAAAAUAAUUUUUUUAUUAAAUGUAACAAAAUUAAUUUUAAAAAUUAAAAAAAAUCAAAAAAUUAAAGCAAUUAAAAAAAAUCAAAAAAACUUGCCCCCAAAACAGAGCAUACCAUACUUAUUUGAGAGAGAGAGAGACCAGUGCUUUCUAAUCCUAGGAGAGAGAUUUGACGGAAAAAAGGGAUGGGGUAGUUCUGACUGUUGGGGUGGGCUAACUAAAGAGGUCCUUUUGUCUUUGCCAUUGAAUUGGAGGGCAAAAAUGACUAAUUGACCUCUCAUAAGGGCAAAAUGGAAAGUAAGGGGACCUACUUUCUUGAGGAUCUCACAAUUUCCUUCCCAUGCCCUAACGGCGACUAAACGGUUGAGGACAUCGGUUAAACCCAACGUACUUAUUUUAUACAUAUUUAUCUUUGUCUAUAUUAAUCGAUAAAUUAAUUAAUUUCGAUUAGCGUGAUUAUUACAGAUUAAACUUUUCAAUAAUUUUUUUAAAUAUAAAGCCUUGAUAAUGAUCAAAAUACGAAAUAUAACUAAAAAAUACUCAAAUUGUAUUGUACAAUAUUUUUGAAGGUCAAAAAAAAUUAUUUUUGGAAUAAAAGAAUGUUCAAAAAAGGCACUCCAUUAUUAUUUGUGUUUAUUUUGAGUAAUAGUAAUUGUCUUUUAAAGCGUAUUCGUUAGAGUUUUCAAUCUAAAAAAAAAAGAUAUAAAUGUCAGAUAAAAAAUACAUUGACAUGUAGAUAUGAAGAGAUAUUAUUGUUAUAAAUAGAUAACAAAUUAUAAAUUAUCUAAUAAAAAAAAAUUGACUACUUUGAAAGAAUAAGGGGGAAAUAAAAUGAUGGUUUUAGUUUUUUAGUAAUUUAAAAAUAAUUUAAUAAAUUAAAAAAUAUGCACAGAUUUAGCAUCUUUUGUCCCUUAGAUAAGAAGCAUGUGAGUCUCACACAUUUGAGAAGAAAAAAAGUGAUAUUUUGGAGAGAAAAAAAAUAAUCUCAACUGAAAUCUCAGUCGUUUGAUUAAUUCAAAUGAAUUUAAUUGGAUAGUAAUAAAAAAUUAAGUUUAAAAUUUAAAUUAAGGUAUAUUUUAGAAUAUAAAGUUUUUGGAUAGUUUUAUUCUCGGAGGAAAAGUGGUCCAAAUUCCCGAAUAUAGAAUGAUACGAAGCCGCCGCCUGUUCCUUUCAAUGCUUUUUGGAUUAUACUGGACAAGUUGAUGUUGAUAGGUAUCAAUGUAAUGCCGCGCCAAAUCCAACCGCUGUACAUGCUUGCGUAUUUUAAGGAAAAAUUUGGAUAGAAGUGGUAUAAUCACUGAAUUAAUAUUAAAAACUAAUCUGAUCGAUAUUUUUUAAAAGGGUGCGGUAGGGUAAUUUAUUAAUUAUAUCAAAUACAUGGUGUAUUUUAUGAUUUUAUCUCUGGGGCGGCAACUUAAACGACGUCAAUUUGAAUCUGUAUAAAAUCUGGAGGGCACGGGAGAAAGUCCAUUCCUACAUCAGAUUUUUCUCUUUCUCUCUAUCUCUUAAGCUCCGAUUCACUUACAAAACUGCGUGGCUUUGCUGUGAACACCCCUCUAUGGACCCCGUGAUAUUGGUUGCAAGUUCGGCAUCCCUCAUGUUUUAAAAAACGGGUUGAAUCGAUCGGUUCAACAACACGGUCGAAGAAACAGUACGCUUAGCUCUCUAACACCUGCUUUGCGUCAAAACUCGGUCACCCCCAGUAUGAAACUGCAACCCAACCGGUUGAACCAGUGAUUGAAUCGUCCCGAUUUACUAUUUAGAAAAAUUUUAUGUUUAAUUUUAAAAUUUAGAUUUUAAGUGUAUAAAAGUAAUGGUAGAAAAAUAAAAGAUAUAUGAUAUUAAUAUAAUAAAUAAAUUAUACAUAAUUAUUGCAUCACGGGUCAAUAAACGAUUGGACCCGACUGACUUGAUACUAGUGAACCCGUGACCUGAUUUAUCUUUUCAGUUCGCUUUAACGGUCCGAUAUUUUAAAACACUGCCUAAUAUGAAGUCAUAUGUAUUCUGAGUACAAAACGAACUAUACCUGGAGUACUAGAACAAAAAGUGUUCCAUCAUAAAACUUUAAAUUCUUAGGCAUGAAUUCGACUUACACCUAAGGCCACAUUUGACUUGCACAUAGAUAUCAACUUGUACUCAUGAAAAAGUUAUCUAGUACGAUCAAUGAUACUUUUAUGAAUCGUAUAUACGAUUCAAUGAUAACUUUUUCAUGAGUUGCAAGGUGGUUUAGUACGAUUCAAUGAUACAUUUUUUCGUGAUUGCAGUUGGAUAUCCUAAGGCGCAGUCAUGGGUGUCCUGGAUGCCAAUUAACUAACUUUAAGAGUUUUAAAUUCUACGUUUGAACGUUUUUGUUCUAGCAGGCCAAGCACAUCUCAAUUUACACCAAGGGCACAUUAUUUGCACCCUAGCAUAUCCCACUUCAAUGACGUUCGUUAUACAUGUCUUUCUAAAUUUUAAAUGACAUCUAUACAAUAUUAGUUUUUUGUGGAUCAAGCAGUAAAGAUUAAAUUUAGGCCUACAAUUAAAUUCCUUUUGAUUGGUGAAAUACGUAGAAUUACUUGACAUAACAGAGUGAAUCUAUCCUUACGAGAUUGAUAUUUUCACCCACCUCAUAUAGGAGAUAGUGAAUAUAAUUGCCACUCUUUUAAAAAAUAUUAUAACAAACUUUAGUUUACUUAUGAUAAAUUUGAAACUUAAAACCGAGGAACUCUAAACGAAAACUAUAAACGUAGCGCUGCGGCUGGCAAAUCCUGGCAUUAUUGAAUUUAACAACUUCAAUAAAUUCCCUCGUGGAAACCUUGUUACCAAUUUGUGAAUGCUACACGUUGAUUGUUGAUUGUUUGGGGAGAAAACACUCAUAAUCAACAGCAAUGGUCUACCGUUCACCGAAAAUUUUAACCGAAUUUGUUCUGAUUGCACUAAAACGACGACAUUUUGGUACUAAAAUGGUUUUUAGUUUCUUUCCGGUAAUAAUCCAUUUUGUUGAACGACGUCGUUUUGAUUUUUUUGCACCAAACGUCGUCGUUUUGGUACUAUCGAUAAUAAAUUGGUAAACUUUCGAAACAGUAGCAUUUCUGAUCACUCAUUUAGCAUAUAGGAUGGAUGGGGGCUUCGCCCCUCAAAGUUUUUAAAAAUUACUAAUUAUAUUAUAAAUUUUAAUUAAUUCAAUAAUUAUUAG